AUACAUACUUGGCAGGGGAGAUAACCAUAAUCCCAAAGGUGGUUUCUCCAGAGCAAGACUCAUCCAUGGCACUUUGUAUGUGUUGACCCCUGUGAUAUCCUCAAAUGUGAGAAAUUCGACUGCAUAAUGUGUGGUAAUAGGGGAGUGCAUUCACACUCUCCAU